rnacentral:lncRNA from 1 species
UUCGAGCUUGUCUCAGCCCUGCCCAAGCGCGCUCCCUAGUAAACCUAUCCUCUCCCCUCCGGUCCACCGGAACUGAUUUAACGAGUCCUCACCCGAUAUAAAUGAUAGAGAAAUAUCCCCCAAACCCCCACUCUAAACCCUCUCUCCUCUUUGGAUUAGGUUUCCGCCCCCCCUCUCCGAUGGCCGCUGCUGUGGCCCGAGCUCUCGU